rnacentral:rRNA from 1 species
UACGUAGGGUGCGAGCGUUAAUCGGAAUUACUGGGCGUAAAGCGUGCGCAGGCGGUUCGUUAAGUUCGAUGUGAAAGCCCCGGGCUCAACCUGGGAAUGGCAUUGGAAACUGGCGGACUCGAGUGUGGCAGAGGGGGGUGGAAUUCCGCGUGUAGCAGUGAAAUGCGUAGAGAUGCGGAGGAACACCGAUGGCGAAGGCAGCCCCCUGGGCUAACACUGACGCUCAGGCACGAAAGCGUGGGGAGCAGACAGG